AACAGCGACCUUCGGAAUAGGUAUAGCAAUAUGCUCUUUGGUCAGUCUCGUCAUUUCGCCAUUUUGGGAUGAAAUGGUAGCUUCUUGUUAUGUGAAAACGAUCCAAAAUAGAUGGCUUUAUAACAUGGUAUUACAUGCGGAGUAUAUUUCACGUAAGUUACCAUCUUCUCAUAUGAUUGUUUUUUCUUGAGUUGGGCGUCAUCAGUUUAUCAGUAAUUUUGCUAUUUUGCUUUUACCACUUUAUUUACAACCAUUUAUGUCGGAGCUUCGGUGGCGCAAUUGUCAGAGCAACCACCUCUGAGAUCCUGG